UACGGGGGGGGUAAGCGUUGUUCGGAAUUACUGGGCGUAAAGGGCUCGUAGGCGCCAACUAAGUCAGACGUGAAAUCCCUCAGCUUAACUGGGGAACUGCGUCUGAUACUGGAUGGCUUGGAUUCGGGAGAGGAAUGCGGAAUUCCAGGUGUAGCGGUGAAAUGCGUAGAUAUCUGGAGGAACACCGGUGGCGAAGGCGGCAUCCUGGACCAACACUGACGCUGAGGAGCGAAAGCCAGGGGAGCAAACGGG
rnacentral:rRNA from 1 species